CCUACGGGUGGCUGCAGUGGGGAAUAUUGCACAAUGGGCGCAAGCCUGAUGCAGCCAUGCCGCGUGUGUGAAGAAGGCCUUCGGGUUGUAAAGCACUUUCAGCGGGGAGGAAGGCGGUGAGGUUAAUAACCUCAUCGAUUGACGUUACCCGCAGAAGAAGCACCGGCUAACUCCGUGCCAGCAGCCGCGGUAAUACGGAGGGUGCAAGCGUUAAUCGGAAUUACUGGGCGUAAAGCGCACGCAGGCGGUCUGUCAAGUCGGAUGUGAAAUCCCCGGGCUCAACCUGGGAACUGCAUUCGAAACUGGCAGGCUAGAGUCUUGUAGAGGGGGGUAGAAUUCCAGGUGUAGCGGUGAAAUGCGUAGAGAUCUGGAGGAAUACCGGGGGCGAAGGCGGCCCCCUGGACAAAGACUGACGCUCAGGUGCGAAAGCGUGGGGAGCAAACAGGAUUAGAUACACCAGUAGUC
rnacentral:rRNA from 1 species